AAAACAGAAUUUCUUCACCUGGCAUUUUCUGCCAAUUUGCAAAAGAACUCGUGCAUUGGUUCUUACCUCAUCAUUUACCACCACUUUGCAAGCAAUUUUGAGCAUCAUUUUCUUAACUGGGAGCAAAAGAAUCGCAGCUGCUACAUCAAAGUUCAUCAAUGGCAGAUUGGGAUUGAAGCCAUUUCAAGCUGUUUCAAACCAAGCUUUCUCCAUCAUCCAUCAUUU
rnacentral:lncRNA from 1 species